ACACGGCCGACGCGGGUCAGAGUGUAGUAUCUGUUCUUAUCAGCUUAAUAUCUGAUACGGGUUGUAUUUUGACCCAAGGUAUUAAACUUAUUUUUGCAAUUUGGCUGAGUGCUUGAAUUCUGCUGCACCUCUGCCGCGGGUCGGCCAGCUAUUGCACUAUCUUCGAGAUCGGCCCACGUUUU